UCGCUCUGGUUCUCCUUCAAAAUGCGUAUUAAUCUUUCGCCUUUUACUAAAGAUUACCGUGGAGGAGAGCAACUGAAUGAGUCUUACAACUAAUUUUUCGCUGCCCUGCCUUUCGGCGGGGCU